rnacentral:rRNA from 1 species
UACGGAGGGGACUAGCGUUGUUCGGAAUUACUGGGCGUAAAGCGCACGUAGGCGGAUUUGUAAGUCAGGGGUGAAAUCCCGGGGCUCAACCUCGGAACUGCCUUUGAUACUGCGAAUCUCGAGUCCGGAAGAGGUGAGUGGAAUUCCUAGUGUAGAGGUGAAAUUCGUAGAUAUUAGGAAGAACACCAGUGGCGAAGGCGGCUCACUGGUCCGGUACUGACGCUGAGGAGCGAAAGCGUGGGGAGCAAACAGG